GUGGAUCGGCGCCAGGGUCCAGCUCCAGUUGCCCUGCCCGUCCGCCUCCCGGCACCAGAAGUCGGGCUGGUCCAGGAGGAAGGAGUCCGAGAACUUGCUGAAGCCGAUGACGAGCGCCGGGACCCAGCGCGGCUGCAGCGGGCUGGGCGGGAGCGCACCGCAUCGCCGAGCAGCAGGAGCACCCUGUGUGGCUGAAGAAAGGACGAGAUUCGGAGGGAAGAACCGAAAGGUGAAGGGGGCAUUUCUGAGAUCCAGAGGGCUGCCAGGAGACGUGCCUGCAUCGCUUCAGCCUGUCACAUCAGAACACACUUUGAAGAAAAUUAUAUCCUGUUAACCUGACGUUAAUUGUAAAACAGGCAUUUCAAAUUUG